UCUAAUGGUCUAUGGUUUUUGCAUGUUUUUUGCCAUAGCACUCAUUUGAUUGUAUCAUUUUGUUUUUCUUGUUUAUAAAUUGUUGAUUAAUGAUGAAAUCAAUUUCCAUCAACACUAAAUUUAAUAUUUUGUAUACAAUUAUCGCUGUUGAUGAUCAAAAAUUCACCUCGCUGGAUUUAACUUCGUUUUCCCUUUCUGCUGUGUAAGACUUACUUUGAUGAUUGUGUAUUCGUAAUUUUUUGCCUGUUAACAAGUUGAUUAAAUUAUCACUUGAAUACAUGAUGACUACCAGUACUACAAUUGCUUUAGUAACUGUUUUAAAUUUGGUUUUAAAACUUAUUAAAUUGUGAAGAAGAACAAGUAAUCAGAUACCUAUUAGUCUAUUUAAACAACAAUUAAACAUAUCGAAUCUUGGAUUUUGGUCUGAUUUUGGCUUGGUGUCUAUGAUGUGCAGAUCGUAGAUAAGGUUUGGCGUUGCUGUUAAUUGCUGUUAAUCAUGAUAACAGAAAAACGUGGAAUUUAUAAUUUUCCUUCAAUUUAAAUAAUAAAUGGAAAUCGCUAAUUACUGUUACCUAAAUGGCCAUUAACAUGUGAUAUGAAUUAAUGCCUUAAUUUGAGAAGAGGCACAUUUAUUGAUACACUGUUUAUCAAGGAAUAAUCUUUUUUAAUGAUUGGUUAAUGACAUUUGGUAAAUCUUUGAUUGUUAUCAGAUUAUCAUUUCAAAUGGACAUUUCAACUCUUCCUUGAAUACAGAUUUCAAAAUGAUUUUCCGAGUUGAGAGAAGGAAAUUGAAAUGAAAGGAUUUAAACCUAGGAAAUGGUGAAUAAUUUCACUACAUUCAAAUUCAAUUUCAUCGACCAUUUUAUCAAUGCCGAUAAUCGACUCUACUUACAUUUUUCAUGUAAUCUUCUACUUGGCUCAUUUCAAUUAACUGAAUACCAAUUAUCAAUCAAUUGUACUGCAAUAUCCACAGUUGAAUACACUUUUGUUGUCAAAAUAUUUAUACUCAAACAGCUUAUCUUAAUCUUUCUCUUCCACUUGAAAAGAUUCGCAUUUGACUAUAUUUUCUUAAUCCUUAUUAUGAUUGAUUGUAAUUCAUUUUAAUCAGGCUGAAGACCUUUGGAUUUACUCUCAUUCAAACCCUUUCCUAAUUUUAGCUAAUCAGACAAAAGUUCAAUUAGUCUGAAUUGUCGUCUGUCAAAACUCAAAUCUAACUGUAACUUGGCAAUGUUAUUACAUUGUGUGCAUCCGAUUCCAUUUGCAUUUCAAUUGCAAUCAGAUUUUAUUCAAGAUUCUUCAUUUAUUUCAUAAAUUCAGCUUAUUAUGCAUUAAAGGAUCAAAGGAGGGGAAGUUGAAGAAUCAGUUAGAA